rnacentral:rRNA from 1 species
UGGGGAAUAUUGGACAAUGGGGGAAACCCUGAUCCAGCGAUGCCGCGUGGGUGAAGAAGGCCUUCGGGUUGUAAAGCCCUUUAGGUUGGGAAGAAGAGUGGUGGAGGAAAUGCCAUUACUUUGACGGUACCAACAGAAUAAGCACCGGCAAACUCUGUGCCAGCAGCCGCGGUAAUACAGAGGGUGCGAGCGUUAAUCGAAAUUACUGGGCGUGAAGGGCGCGUAGGCGGAUGAGUGAGUGGGAUGUGAAAGCCCUGGGCUUAACCUAGGAAGUGCAUACCAAACGACUCAUCUGGAGUAGAGUAGAGGGUGGCGGAAUUUCCGGUGUAGCGGUGAAAUGCGUAGAGAUCGGAAGGAACGUCAAUGGCGAAGGCAGCCACCUGGGCUCAUACUGACGCUGAGGCGCGAAAGCGUGGGGAGCGAA